UUCCGGUUGAUCCUGCCAGAGGUCACUGAUAACGGNGUUCGAUUAAGCCAUGCGAGUCGAGAGGGUUCGGCCUUCGGCGUACUGCUCAGUAACACGUGGAUAACCUGCCCUAGGGGAGGGGAUAACCCCGGGAAACUGGGGAUAAUACCCUAUAGGUUACAGAUGCUGGAAUGCCCUGUAACCAAAAGCUCCGGCGCCCUAGGAUGGAUCUGCGGCCGAUUAGGUUGUUGUUGGGGUAACGGCCCAACAAGCCCGUAAUCGGUACGGGUUGUGGGAGCAAGAGCCCGGAGUUGGAUUCUGAGACACGAAUCCAGGCCCUACGGGGCGCAGCAGGCGCGAAACCUUUACAAUGCGGGCAACCGUGAUAAGGGAACCUCGAGUGCCUGUAAACGCAGGCUGUUCAGGUGUUUAAAACGCACCUGGAGAAAGGGCCGGGCAAGACCGGUGCCAGCCGCCGCGGUAAUACCGGCGGCUCGAGUGGUGGCCGCUUUUAUUGGGCUUAAAGCGUUCGUAGCUGGGUUGUUAAGUCUCUUGGGAAAUCUGGCGNCUUAACCGUCAGGCGUCUAAGGGAUACUGGCAAUCUUUGGAACCGGGAGAGGUUGAGGGGUUACUUUCGGGGGUA
rnacentral:rRNA from 1 species